rnacentral:lncRNA from 1 species
GAUUAAGAAAAAAAUAGUAACAGGAUAUAGUACAUGUGUGGAUGGAUUUAUAUAUCAUAUUAGAAUGGAUAAUCCUAAUUCUUCACUAACAUCACUUUUCUCCUCUUUGGGACAAGUAGCUACACACAGUUGCCAGCUUCUCUUGCAGUUCUAUGUGGCCCUGUGAUCCAGCUCCACCUGAUAUAAGUAUGCUACUUCCAGGACCAACCAAAGGAAUUCUGGGAUCUCAAACUUUUGAAAACCAACAGCCAUACAACACUGCAACAAUCAUAGGUCUGUUUUACAAAUGGUUAACCUGUAGAAAUGAAUCAAUGAGCCAGACUCCAGCAUACUCUUGAGUCAUUUACACCUGCCACCAGAGAAGUUUUAUUUUUCACACAUGUUAUGCUCAUCAUCCAUAAGACCAAAGACCUACCAACCACAGGUUCAAAAUCUCAGCUCUGCAAAGAAAAAAGAGUAAUUGUAUCAAUCUACUAAAUGAUACUCCAAAGUAGAUAACCAUGGUCUUUUAUGGAUUUCUUUGCCAUUCUUGACAGGAAGUGGUAGCUAUUUUUAAUCAUACAAACUUAAAGACUAAAACAGAAGCUAAUAGAUUUUCCAAGGAGGAAAGCCCCCUUCUGAAGAGAACAAUACAGUUUCUUUCUUGUCAUCUUAUGGGUUUCAUUCCAUUCUCAAAUGCAUCCUGAGGAAAGAUGAACUGACAGGCACCAGAAGCAAGGCCAUACCUUUUAGAUCACCAAUUUGCUUUAGGGGACCUACAAGCCCAUCUUGGAAUCAUCUCUCUUGCCCACCUGCGUGCCUGCCUUACCAGCCAGAGAUGGUCUCCAGGCUGAGGCUUCCUUCAUUCAGCAACCGUCCUUAGCACCCACUAUGUGUGCAUGCUAGAAAUACAGUGAUAUACAAAGGAGACUCAGUUCCUGUUCGUGAAAUGAGUGUAUAGUGUAGUAGGGGGACACAGAUAUUUUAAAAGGUAAUUACACAUUUCUUACUAUCAAAAAUAGCAAGCUAGCUGAUUUGGACAAGACUUCUUACCAAAAAGAACUAAGAAAUUGGUCAAAAUGCAUUCAAAGGAAUAUUAGUGUGAAUUAGAGCUGAAAAUACAGUGAAGGAAGAUGAGAACCUGCAAGCUGCUUCUGCACUGAGAGCAUUUGCUGAUUUGGAAAAAAAUUCAACUCUCCUUCAAACAGCCUCAGUGAGCAAGGAGGACGGAAAUAAAAACCCAGAGUCUGCAAACA